rnacentral:lncRNA from 1 species
GAAAGGAAGUUCUUUGUUAUACAGAACAGCCUGGUCUUAUCUUCAAGUAAUAGAGGGGAAAACAUUUAGAGGUCUUUAGGAGAUGGAGUGUGUGUGAAUGAGUCUCCCCCAAUAUUUACAUUUGUCAUUUAGCUGAUGCUCUUAUCCAGACCAACUUACAGUAGUGAGAGCAAACAUUUUCAUACUGGUCCCCUGUGGGAAUUGAACCCACAACCCUGGUGUUGCCACCACCAUGCUCUACCAACUAAGCCACACAGAAUUAUACAAGUUAUACAAAUAUAAACACAUAUAAAGAAGAAACACACUUUCAAGUGUUCUUGAAGUUAUUAAAAGUGAACUCGUCACUGGCAGUGUGUUUACGUAGUGGUCUCGUAGUGAUGACAUAGAGCGUGUGGGACCUGCCUCCUGGAGAGAGUGUUUGCAGUCGAUUUACACUGUUAGUCAGGGAGGUUACUGUGGGUUAUAUUAAAGCUUUGUGCUUGGGGGGCGAGGUAAGUGUGCAUGCGUGUGAGUGAGAGAGAGCAGGGGAAACUGGUCUAAUGGGUAUAGUACACUAGGCUGGUAUAGUGGGUAUAGUACACUAGGCUGGUAUAGUAAACUAGGCUGGUAUAGUGGGUAUAGUAAACUAGGCUGGUCUAGUGGGUAUAGUACACUAGGCUGGUAUAGUGGGUAUAGUACACUAGGCUGGUAUAGUAAACUAGGCUGGUAUAGUGGGUAUAGUAAACUAGGCUGGUCUAGUGGGUAUAGUACACUAGGCUGGUAUAGUGGGUAUAGUACACUAGGCUGGUAUAGUGGGUAUAGUAAACUAGGCUCGUAUAGUGGAUAUAGUACACUAGGCUGGUAUAGUGGGUAUAGUACACUAGGCUGGUAUAGUUGGUAUAGUACUCUAGGCUGGUAUAGUGGAUAUAGUACACUAGGCUGGUAUAGUGGGUAUAGUACACUAGGCUGGUAUAGUGGGUAUUGUACACUAGGCUGGUAUAGUGGGUAUAGUACACUAGGCUGGUAUAGUGGGUAUAGUACACUAGGCUGGUAUAGUAAACUAGGCUGGUAUAGUGGGUAUAGUAAACUAGGCUCGUAUAGUGGGUAUAGUACACUAGGCUGGUAUAGUAAACUAGGCUGGUAUAGUGGGUAUAGUAAACUAGGCUCGUAUAGUGGAUAUAGUACACUAGGCUGGUAUAGUAAACUAGGCUGGUAUAGUGGGUAUAGUAAACUAGGCUCGUAUAGUGGGUAUAGUACACUAGGCUGGUAUAGUAAACUAGGCUGGUAUAGUGGGUAUAGUAAACUAGGCUCGUAUAGUGGAUAUAGUACACUAGGCUGGUAUAGUGGGUAUAGUACACUAGGCUGGUACGGUAAACUAGGCUGGUAUAGUAAACUAGGCUGGUAUAGUGGGUAUAGUACACUGGGCUGGUAUAGCUGGUAUAGUACACUCGGCUGGUAUAGUGGGUAUAGUACACUAGGCUGGUAUAGUAAACUAGGCUGGUAUAGUGGGUAUCGUACACUAGGCUGGUAUAGUGGGUAUAGUACACUGGGCUGGUAUAGUAAACUAGGCUGGUAUAGUAAACUAGACUCGUAUAGCACACUAGGCUGGUAUAGUGGUUAUAGUACACUAGGCUGGUAUAGUAAACUAGGCUGGUAUAGUGGGUAUAGUACACUAGGCUGGAAUAGUGGGUAUAGUACACUAGGCUAGUAUAGUGGGUAUAGUACACUAGGCUGGUAUAGUACACUAGGCUGGUUUAGUAAACUAAACUGGUAUAGUACACUAGGCUGGUAUAGUCGGUAUUGUACACUAGGCUGGUAUAGUAUACUAGGCUGGUAUAGUAAACUAUGCUGGUGUAGUAAACUAGGCUGGUAUAGUGGGUAUAGUACACUAGGCUGGUCUAGUGGGUAUAGUACACUAGGCUGGUAUUGUAAACUAGGCUGGUAUAGUGGAUAUAGCACAUUAUGCUUAUAUAGUACACUAGGCUGGUAUUGUGGGUGAAGUACACUGGGCUGGUUUCGUGGGUAUUGUAGACUUGGCUGGUUUAGUGGGUAUAUUACACUAGGUUGGUAUAGUGGGUAUUGUACACUAGGCUGGUAUAGUGGGUAUAGUACACAAGGCUGGUAUAGUACGCUUGGCUGGUAUAGUGGGUAUAGUACACUUGGCUGGUAUAGUGGGUAUAGUACACUAGGCUGGUAUAGUGGGUAUUGUACACUAGGCUGGUAUAGUGGGUAUAGUACACUAGGCUGGUAUGGUGGGUAUAGUACACUAGGCUGGUAUAGUGGGUAUAGUACACUUGGCUGGUAUAGUGUGUUGUGGUUGAGAUGGUAGAUAAGGGCUGUAGUAGGGUUGUAUAGUCAGUUAUGUUGGCCGUUCUGACUGAGACAAGGUUUACUUACUUUUCUUGUAUGUGAGGCAGGUAAUGUAGGUAUGAUCCCUAGAAGUCUCUUGGUCUCUCCCAGCUGUGUGCUGUGAUUGAGGUGGUGGAUUAGAGUUAUAUCAUGGGUAUUUGGUUGGUAGGUAGGUAAUGGAUAGUGGUAGUCUUUUUGUAGGCACUAACUCUGCCAUGGUUCGUUGGACAAAGCCUAUGGGAAAAAUAAAUUGUGUUUUUGUAGGGUUUUGGAUAAACGC